UGUGGGCCUUUGCGAGGGCGGAGCUGCGUUCGCCUCAGCACACAUACGGAGAGCAUCGCCAGGGCGGAGCUCAGUUCUCCUCUGCACAGACUUCGGAGAUAAAGCGAAGGCAGAGCAGUGUUCUCCUCAGCACAAACCCGGGAGGGCCAGGGGCACCGCGAGGGCGGAGCUGCAUUCUGCUCAGCACAGACCUUGGGGCACUGCCUCGCUUUGGGACAACUCGGGGCCGCAUCGACGGUGAAUAAAAUUCUUCCUGUUUGCAGCCGUAUUUGCGGUUGGUGGCAGCGAUGGACACUGCAGCCAGCCAGAACGUAGAAAGGCGUCGGGGCUUUUCUGUCUUUGCCUGCCCAGCUGCUCCAUGCCAGGAGGAGGAGAAGACACCUAGAGCCUGCGACACCACAGCUCGCCUCACUGCGGGUGGGUGGCAGCGACGGAGACUGUGAAUUUUUCUUUACCACUGUUCCUUGUAAAGUCAUUUUUGGUAUCCUGUGAUUGACCCUUCAAAUGGUGAUGAACAGAGAUAAUAAAGCAAAUGAAGCAUGAUGAUAAGAAAAAAUGAGAAGACAGAAACCAAUCAAUGUGUCCAUUUACUUGAAAUUUAACUGCAUAAGAGCAAUGAUUAAAAAAAACCCCAGAGUUAUUUUUC